rfam:Schistosoma mansoni strain Puerto Rico chromosome 2, complete genome
AUUCAGCUGACGAGUCCAAAAUUGGACAAAACACGUGUAUUGUAU